AGAGUUUGAUCAUGGCUCAGAUUGAACGCUGGCGGCAGGCUUAACACAUGCAAGUCGAGCGGUAACAGGAGAAGCUUGCUUCUCGCUGACGAGCGGCGGACGGGUGAGUAAUACUUAGGAAUCUACCUAGUAGUGGGGGAUAGCACGGGGAAACUCGUAUUAAUACCGCAUACGACCUACGGGAGAAAGGGGGCAGUUUACUGCUCUCGCUAUUAGAUGAGCCUAAGUCGGAUUAGCUAGAUGGUGGGGUAAAGGCCUACCAUGGCGACGAUCUGUAGCUGGUCUGAGAGGAUGAUCAGCCACACCGGGACUGAGACACGGCCCGGACUCCUACGGGAGGCAGCAGUGGGGAAUAUUGGACAAUGGGGGAAACCCUGAUCCAGCCAUGCCGCGUGUGUGAAGAAGGCCUUUUGGUUGUAAAGCACUUUAAGCAGUGAAGAAGACUCCAUGGUUAAUACCCAUGGACGAUGACAUUAGCUGCAGAAUAAGCACCGGCUAACUCUGUGCCAGCAGCCGCGGUAAUACAGAGGGUGCAAGCGUUAAUCGGAAUUACUGGGCGUAAAGGGAGCGUAGGUGGCUCUAUAAGUCAGAUGUGAAAUCCCCGGGCUUAACCUGGGAACUGCAUCUGAAACUGUAGAGCUAGAGUAUGUGAGAGGAAGGUAGAAUUCCAGGUGUAGCGGUGAAAUGCGUAGAGAUCUGGAGGAAUACCGAUGGCGAAGGCAGCCUUCUGGCAUAAUACUGACACUGAGGCUCGAAAGCGUGGGUAGCAAACAGGAUUAGAUACCCUGGUAGUCCACGCCGUAAACGAUGUCUACUAGUCGUUGGGUCCCUUGAGGACUUAGUGACGCAGCUAACGCAAUAAGUAGACCGCCUGGGGGAGUACGGCCGCAAGGUUAAAACUCAAAUGAAAUUGACGGGGGGCCCGCACAAAGCGGUGGAGCCAUGUGGUUUUAAUUCGAUGCCACCCCGAAGAAACCUUACCUGGGCCUUGACAUAUUCUUGAAUCCUGCCGAAAAUGCCGGGAGUGCCUCUCUCGGAAAUAUAAAAACAAGGGGCUGCGGGGCGUGUCCUCCACCCCCUGUCCCGGAAAAAUAUUGGGU
rnacentral:rRNA from 1 species